AAACAGAGCCACAAUACGCACAUAACCAAUUCGGGUUUGGAAUGCUGCAGAAGAAAUGGCGGCUCAGCGAUGGAUCGACGGGGACGAGAGCGCGAAGGAGAUGCUUUCGAGGGUUUUGAAAGAGAGGCCUUUCUUGUUGCUUCCUCCUCUUCACAGAAUCCCUCUACGCGUCGGCAAUGUGGUCGAGCUUGUCGGCUCCUCUCCCUCUGCUAAAACUCACAUCCUCAUUCAGGCUGCAAUCACUUGCAUUCUUCCUACGGAGUGGAAUGGAGUUCACUAUGGAGGAUUGGGGCGUUUAGUGGUCUUCAUCGACUUGGAUUGUCGAUUCGACGUUCCGCGUCUUGCCGAAAUGCUGAAGCAUAGGAUUGUUGAAGCAACUGAAUCACAUAUGGAGGAACGGCAGAAAAAUGAUGUUGAUAUGAGAAAAGGUGACUCAGAGAGGAGACCAAGUACUGCCUACAAUGAUCAAUUAUUUGCUAUCUGCAUGAGGCGGUUUCUGUACAUCCGAUGCUAUGAUAGUUUCGAGUAUCUUGCCACUCUUAAGACACUUCAUCAUAUGUUCCAAAAGGAAAAGGAGGCUCAAGGAGUUGGUGUUCAUUUCCUAAUGAUUGACGGCAUUGGAGCUCUUCAUUGGGUGGAUAGGAAUUUAACAUCUUUGCCAUUAGGGGUUAAUAGCAGGAAAAGCCUCUCUCUCCAAAAUUUGUGGGAAACUGUUGUUAUGGAGAUUACAAGGCUUCUGAUGGUGCAUCCCAUGCUUGUUUUUGCCACAAAAGCAACCAUUGUAGGGGAUAAAUUUUCAGCAACUGAAGCCAAAAGGACCCCCAAAAAUUGGUCUUCACCAGAUAUUAUAAGUAAUUCACGAAGACUUCUCUAUCGCGAGUAUAUGCCAUCUGUCUGGCAGUCUUUUGUUACGCACAGAAUAAUUGUACAAGCAAAAGAUGAUCAUCUCUUUCUCCAUGAACACCAAAACCAGCCAAUCUUUUCUUUAGAGUGGCUAUUUCCACCACUGAGCUUUGUGGACAAAUUUAUUGUGAAAGAUGCUGGUGUAUUUAUUGUUCCAUGAAGUUUGUUUCUGACGAGACGAUAGAGAAUCUUGCUUCUGACUUCCUGAUCUAUCUCAUGAUGCCAGGGAUGGAAGAGUGAUCUUAAGGAAUAUAUGAUUAAUUAUUACUCUCCAAAAGAAAUAAUAAGCUUAACUCCCUCAAAAGACUGGAAAUCUAAUGGGUAAAUGUUGAAGAAGCUGGUUCUACCAGUUUAUUAGGAAGUGAGUUGGCAGUCUGAUUCUGGGCCGCAGACUUCCAAUAAUUGGAAUGGGGUUUCUCAUUUACUGCUGGCAUGUUUGGAUUGAUGUUCUACAGAGUUAAGUGAGUCGAGUUAAGAAUGGAGGAGUAAUUUCAUCUUGCUUGGAUUGUAGGAGGGAGAGGUAAGUGGGGUGGCUUUCCAACUCAACAUUUUGUAAUCCUAGGUUUAUGAGGUGAACGAAAAGUGUGUUUAUUAUUUCUUAAAUUGUCCACAAAAGUUUCACUUAUUUUCACAUUGAUAAAUGUAUUUUUGUAACUUAAGUAAAAGUGAGUAAUGAUGGUCCGCUCCCA